GCCUGUUUAUCAAAAACAUAGCUUGAAGAAUUUAUUUCAGGUGGAACCUGCCCAGUGCUGAAAUGUAAACGGCCGCAGUACCUUGACUGUGCUAAGGUAGCAUAAUCAGUUGGCUUUUAAAUGGAGUCGGGAAUGAAUGGACAAAUAGGGUUAAGCUGUCUCCUCUAUAAUUAUUUGAACUUGCUUAUUAGGUGAAAAUGCCUAAUUUAAGAAAAAAGACGAGAAGACCCUAGGAGUUUUGACUAUUUACUAUAAUUAUAGUUAACGUUUUUGUUGGGGCGACACAGGAGCAUAUUAAAACCUCCUUCACACAUUUGCCGACUUUGUAAGGGCAAUCAAACUACCCUAGGGAUAACAGCGUAAUUCUUUUAGAGCUUGCGACCUCGAUGUUGGACUAGGAAUUUGGUAGGCUAGCCGCCUAUUUUUAUUGUUCUG
rnacentral:rRNA from 1 species